rnacentral:rRNA from 1 species
CGGGAAUUUUGGGCAAUGGGCGAAAGCCUGACCCAGCAACGCCGCGUGAGGGAUGAAGUAUUUCGGUAUGUAAACCUCGAAAGAAUGGGAAGAAUAAAUGACGGUACCAUUUAUAAGCUCCGGCUAACUACGUGCCAGCAGCCGCGGUAAUACGUAGGGAGCAAGCGUUGUUCGGAUUUACUGGGCGUAAAGGGCGCGUAGGCGGCGCGGUAAGUCACUUGUGAAAUCUCUGAGCUUAACUCAGAACGGCCAAGUGAUACUGCUGUGCUAGAGUGCGGAAGAGGCAACCGGAAUUCUUGGUGUAGCGGUGAAAUGCGUAGAUAUCAAGAGGAACACCUGAGGCGAAGGCGGGUUGCUGGGCCGACACCGACGCUGAUGCGCGAAAGCCAGGGGAGCAAACG